rnacentral:rRNA from 1 species
UACAGAGGUGGCAAGCGUUGUUCGGAAUUACUGGGCGUAAAGGGCGCGUAGGCGGCCUUCUAAGUCAGACGUGAAAUCCCCGAGCUCAACUCGGGAACUGCGUCCGAUACUGGUGGGCUUGAAUCCGGGAGAGGGAUGCGGAAUUCCAGGUGUAGCGGUGAAAUGCGUAGAUAUCUGGAGGAACACCGGUGGCGAAGGCGGCAUCCUGGACCGGCAUUGACGCUGAGGCGCGAAAGCUAGGGGAGCAAACAGG